rnacentral:rRNA from 1 species
GACGAACGCUGGCGGCGUGCCUAAUACAUGCAAGUAGAACGCUGAAGGAGGAGCUUGCUUCUCUGGAUGAGUUGCGAACGGGUGAGUAACGCGUAGGUAACCUGCCUGGUAGCGUGGGAUAACUAUUGGAAACGAUAGCUAAUACCGCAUAAUAGUAGAUGUUGCAUGACAUUUGCUUAAAAGUUGCAAUUGCAUCACUACCAGAUGGACCUGCGUUGUAUUAGCUAGUUGGUGGGGUAACGGCUCACCAAGGCGACGAUACAUAGCCGACCUGAGAGGGGGGUCGGCCACCCUGAGACGGAGACAGGGCCCAGACUGAUGCGGGAGGGAGCAGUAGGGAAUCUUGGGCCAUGGACGGAAGUCUGAGCGAGCAACGCCGCGUGAGGGAAGAAGGUCUUCGGAUCGUAAAGCUCUGUUGUAAGAGAAGAAAGCGCGUGCGAGUGGAAAGUUCAGAGUGUGACGGUGUCUUACCAGAAAGGGACGGCUAACUACGUG